rnacentral:rRNA from 1 species
AACCAACAGGGAUUGCCCUAGUAACGGCGAGUGAAGCGGCAACAGCUCAAAUUUGAAAUCUGGCUCUUUCAGAGUCCGAGUUGUAAUUUGCAGAGGGCGCUUUGGCGUUGGCAGCGGUCCAAGUUCCUUGGAACAGGACGUCACAGAGGGUGAGAAUCCCGUACGUGGUCGCUGGCCUUCGCCGUGUAAAGCCCCUUCGACGAGUCGAGUUGUUUGGGAAUGCAGCUCUAAAUGGGAGGUAAAUUUCUUCUAAAGCUAAAUACUGGCCAGAGACCGAUAGCGCACAAGUAGAGUGAUCGAAAGAUGAAAAGCACUUUGGAAAGAGAGUCAAAUAGCACGUGAAAUUGUUGAAAGGGAAGCGCUUGCAGCCAGACUUGCCUGUAGUUGCUCAUCCGGGCUUUUGCCCGGUGCACUCUUCUGCGGGCAGGCCAGCAUCAGUUUGGGCGGUUGGAUAAAGGUCUCUGUCAUGUACCUCUCUUCGGGGAGGCCUUAUAGGGGAGACGUCAUGCAACCAGCCUGGACUGAGGUCCGCGCAUUUUGCUAGGAUGCUGGCGUAAUGGCUGUAAGCGGCCCGUCUUGAAACACGGACCAAGGAGUCUAACAUCUAUGCGAGUGUUUGGGUGUCAAGCCCGAACGCGUAAUGAAAGUGAACGGAGGUGGGACCCCAUUAGGGUGCACCAUCGACCGAUCCUGAUGUCUUCGGAUGGAUUUGAGUAAGAGCAUGGCUGUUGGGACCCGAAAGAUGGUGAACUAUGCUUGAAUAGGGUGAAGCCAGAGGAAACUCUGGUGGAGGCUCGCAGCGGUUCUGACGUGCAAAUCGAUCGUCAAAUUUGGGCAUAGGGGCGAAAGACUAAUCGAACUAUCUAGUAGCUGGUUCCUGCCG